AACAAUUCAUUUUAAUCUUCCCUCUAUUUUUCUCCCUAUGAAAUAUUUUCGCCUGGAUACAUUCACUCUAAAUUUCACAAUUAUAAUCUCUACUACAGAGAUGCACAAAAUUGAGUAGAUCCUCCCUCCCCUCUCAAGAUCGUCAGUACCCAUCUCAUCUUGCACUAUAGUCGGCCACUAUCACCCGUGUUGGGAUGUUACUUGAAAUCUCUUGAAGACGUACACUCUACACACAAACUCAAGAAGUAGUCACAUGUGAUGCUCAAUGAAAAAAGAUCUAAGAAUACGAAGUUGAAGAGAAUCAAGUUUGCUUCGAAGCGACAAUCCACAAUUGAUGUGGCUACUAAGUCACUGUCAGAUAGAUGCAACUUGCUGGAAUCAUCAAGAAUUGAACGUGCUUGUUUAGCGUUUUCAAGACACCAUAGAUAAUGACCGGUAUCAUCUGAUUCACGUGGGAAAAAAAUAACUAUUGAUAGAAUAAAUGUUUUGUUCUACCACAUCUAAAUAUGAUGGUGCCUUGGAGGCUAAAAUUGACACUGUAUGAAACUAGACUUGUAGAAGGAGAAACAACUAUUGUUGGAUUGGAACAAUAUAUUAUUUCGUUGAGUAGAUACUCCAAAUUUAUGUAUUAACAUUUUUUGGAUA